rnacentral:rRNA from 1 species
UACAGAGGUCUCAAGCGUUGUUCGGAUUCAUUGGGCGUAAAGGGUGCGUAGGUGGCGGGGCAAGUCAGGUGUGAAAUCUCGGGGCUCAACCCCGAAACUGCACUUGAUACUGCUUUGCUAGAGUACUGGAGAGGAGAUUGGAAUUUACGGUGUAGCAGUGAAAUGCGUAGAUAUCGUAAGGAAGACCAGUGGCGAAGGCGAAUCUCUGGACAGUUACUGACACUGAGGCACGAAGGCCAGGGGAGCAAACGGG